rnacentral:rRNA from 14 species
CCGUGAGGGAAAGGUGAAAAGCACCCCGAACAGGGGAAUGAAAGAGAACCUGAAACCGCUUGCCUACAAGCAGUGGGAGCGAUAAGUGACCACGUGCCUUUUGCAUAAUGAGCCUACGAGUUGCCGUUGCUGGCAAGGUUAAGCUACAGCAGUAGCGGAGCCGGAGCGAAAGCGAGUCCGAACAGGGCGUACAGUCAGCAGGGGCAGACGCGAAACCUAGUGAUCUACCCAUGACCAGGU